AUGUGAGUAAGGACAGAAGGUUAGAAGUGAGGGGGUGAGCGGCCAGAGCAGGAGAGAGCAGCGAGGGAACAAAGGAGAAAUGGUUGCCUUGUAGUAUUAGGAGGAUGGUUAAGAGACACCAGAAAAGAUGGCUAAUAAAGAAAUGGCUCUAGUUACACAACAUGGAACUGAGUUCUCUGAAGAUGACAAGAUGCCUGUGUUUGGUCUUUAUCACCGUUGGGUUCCUCGAAGCUUCCAGGUCCACACACCCCCACUCAGGUAGAAGCCCAUGGACUAAGGCUGAGACAUGCUGGGUCACGACAAAUUGGUGCCGAAAUGUGGGACUGAGUAUGGGGGACAGAAGCCAUGGACACCACGAAGAAACGGGCAAAGCAGAGGCUUGGACACUUCGGAGAGAGAGUUGUCUCGGGUGAACUGGUUGGGGAAGAAGCAUGCGCAGGAAAAAGAAGAAAGAAGCGGCCGAAUGUGACUGCAGAUGCAGUUUGACCAGCCGUAUCACUGUUCCUGCUGCCAUGCCUUCUCAUCACGAUGCACUGGAAACCCUUUAAGUGUACGCUGAAAUAAAGCC
ensembl:lncRNA